UCAACACUCAUCUGCCGUCUGCUCGCUAGCAAUAGUAAUGGCACCUUCACGGAGGACUCUCUUUGCAACCGCUGCCAUCGUCCUUGUACUCAUCAUCGUGGUCACCGAGAUGUCAUCUGUUGGGGCAGGUGGUGCUCUUUGCAGGCACCUGAGCAGCGGAUUUACCGGGGUGUGCGGUUUUGACACUGAUUGUAGGACUCAGUGCUUGAGCGAGAGCCACGACAAUCUUGGCGGUGCAUGUGACGGGUUCCCCGCUAAAUGCUACUGUGUGAAGCCAUGCCUGCCUUAAGAUUGGUGCUGCUCUGUCUGAUCCAGCAAUAAUACGACGAUCCUUGCCGCCCCUACAUGUAUUACUACUACCUGUGUAAUGCGGUAGCUUGCUUGUAAUUUUGUUGCCAUAAAUAAAGUUGUUGAACUCCUGGAUCUAAUAAAUA